rnacentral:rRNA from 1 species
GACGAACGCUGGCGGCGUGCUUAACACAUGCAAGUCGAACGGUGAAGCGCCUUCCUUUUUGGUGGGUGUGGAUGAGUGGCGAACGGGUGAGUAACACGUGAGUAACCUGCCCCCUUCUUCUGGAUAACCGCAUGAAAGUGUGGCUAAUACGGGAUAUUCUGGGUCUGUCGCAUGAUGGGUCUGGGAAAGAUAUUGUUUCGGUGGGGAUGGGCUGGCGGCCUAUCAGCUUGUUGGUGGGGUGAUGGCCUACCAAGGCGGUGACGGGUAGCCGGCCGGAGAGGAGGGUGAGCGGCACUAGUAGGGAGGCGCGACGGAGAAGACUCCGACGGGAGGCAGCGGUGGGGAAUAUUGAACAAUGGGAGCAAGGCUGAUGCAGCGCCGCCGCGUGAGGGAUGGAGGCCGUCGGGUUGUGAACCUCUGUCGCCAGUGAAGCAGGCCUGCCUCGUUUGUGGGUGGGUUGACGGUAGCUGGAUAAGAAGCGCCGGCUAACUACGUG